GACUGAAUGGCAUUUUCGAAAUCUGACAUAAGUCUCUCAACGUUGAGGUACACGUCCGGAUAAAGAUCGUCAUACACAGUCAAAAUCUUGUCAAGGACAGCGUCGUAGAGCUGACGGGUCUUCUUGUUCAUCAAAACGAACGCAAAAGGAUAUACCUGUUUGUACCUGCCCAAAGCGGCUUACAUGAAGAGUAAAAAGCUGCUUGAAGAAUAAAGGAAGACUUUUAAAAGUUCCGUCUGCUUGCAGUUCAAUGGUCUGCGCAAUUUCAGGGAGCAGCUUUGGUGAAAUAAAGACAAACGCAUCCCCUCCGUCGGCCGUUUGAACUCGCCCUUGGUAGAAAACGCCACCUUCGAAUGCAUCUCUGGUGGAUGCUCCAUUAUGAGUUCUUCGGCCUCAUCAAUAGUUGUAGGGAUCCGUGGCUGCACACUACGCUUGGCCCGCUAGAUGCGACGCUGCAUAGCGUCGUUGUAGCUCACGAUAAGGCCUGGAAACUCCCGACGAAUCCGAUCGAAAAUUUCACGGGGUGGAUCGCGAGAGACCAAUGCCUCUUGGGCGCAGGCGUUUAUAAAGGCUAAUUGUUGUUGCAGAUGUGACUCCGGUGGAUGGUUGUGCGCAGAGCCAUCUUUACGGAACACACCGCGUCUUUUGCUUGUGGUAGAUGUAUCCACGUUCGGAGUUGUAGUUAACACCGGUGCGACGAGUAGCUGGAACUUCAGCAACGACAGGAAAAUCUUCCUCGCCUUCUCCGUUCCACAUGGAACUUCCUAUUUCUUCAUCAGUGCGACCAGUCCAGCCAAUACGCAGCUAUCGUAUGAUCCAUCCACCACGAGUUCCGGUAACCCUUAUGAUCCAUGCGCCAUUGGGUCCGGAAACUUCUCAGUUGCUCCACCCGCAAUAACAAUCCAGUAACCACUCUUAUGAUCCAACCGCCGUGUAUGAUCAACCCACAAACGGCCCCUGUGGGAUUUUGUAUGAUCCUUCGACCGCUGGGUUCGCGGAACCCCUCAGUUGAUCUACCCGCCACUGUGUUCGGGUGCGAAUUCAUAUUGUUAUCCUGAUGUAGUAUAAUUUUAUUUAACUGCUUUCAAUUUCUUUGCUCAAAGGUUUUUUACUUUGCAUACCUUUUUUGAAAUUCAAUUUAAUUUCGCUUGCUUUUACGUUAUUACUCUGGAGUUACUCAUAAAUAAAUCAAAGGUUAAAUAGUUAAAUAAAUUAACUU
rnacentral:misc_RNA from 1 species